AGAGUUUGAUCCUGGCUCAGAACGAACGCUGGCGGCGUGGAUAAGACAUGCAAGUCGAACGGAGAUCUUGAAUAGCUUGCUAAUUAAGAUCUUAGUGGCGGACGGGUUAGUAACACGUGAGAACCUACCCUUUAGACAGGAAUAGCCCAUGGAAACGUGGAUUAAUGCCUGAUAGUCUCUACGGAGUAAAUGGUGCCUUCGGGUAUCGCUAAAGGAUGGGCUCGCGGCCUAUCAGCUUGUUGGUGAGGUAAAGGCUCACCAAGGCGACGACGGGUAGCUGGUCUGAGAGGACGAUCAGCAACACUGGAACUGAGACACGGUCCAGACACCUACGGGUGGCAGCAGUCGAGAAUCAUUCACAAUGGAGGCAACUCUGAUGGUGCAACGCCGCGUGGAGGAUGACGGUCCUAGGAUUGUAAACUCCUGUCAUUGGGGAGUAAGACUUAAGCGUUAAGAGCGUUUAAGUUUGAUAGUACCCAAAGAGGAAGGGACGGCUAACUUCGUGCCAGCAGCCGCGGUAAU
rnacentral:rRNA from 1 species